AUGGAAUAGGGAGGUCAUUAUAAACACAGUUAUGGAAUAGGGAGGUCAUUAUAAACACAGUUAUGGAAUAGGGAGAUCAUUAUAAACACAGUCAUGGAAUAGGGAGGUCAUUAUAAACACAGUUAUGGAAUAGGGAGGUCAUUAUAAACACAGUUAUGGAAUAGGGAGGUCAUUAUAAACACAGUUAUGGAAUAGGGAGGUCAUUAUAAACACAGUUAUGGAAUAGGGAGGUCAUUAUAAACACAGUUAUGGAAUAGGGAGGUCAUUAUAAACACAGUUAUGGAAUAGGGAGGUCAUUAUAAACACAGUUAUGGAAUAGGGAGGUCAUUAUAAACACAGUUAUGGAAUAGGGAGGUCAUUAUAAACACAGUUAUGGAAUAGGGAGGUCAUUAUAAACACAGUUAUGGACUAGGGAGGACAUUAUAAACACAGUUAUGGAAUAGGGAGGUCAUUAUAAACACAGUCAUGGACUAGGGAGGUCAUUAUAAACACAGUCAUGGAAUAGGGAGGUCAUUAUAAACACAGUCAUGGAAUAGGGAGGUCAUCUUUCUGUUCUAG